AACGAACGCUGGCGGCAUGCCUAACACAUGCAAGUCGAACGAGACCUUCGGGUCUAGUGGCGCACGGGUGCGUAACGCGUGGGAACCUGCCCGUAGGUUCGGAAUAACUCCCCGAAAGGUGUGCUAAUACCGGAUAAUGUCUUCGGACCAAAGAUUUAUCGCCUUUGGAUGGGCCCGCGUUGGAUUAGCUAGUUGGUAGGGUAAAAGCCUACCAAGGCGACGAUCCAUAGCUGGUCUGAGAGGAUGACCAGCCACACUGGGACUGAGACACGGCCCAGACUCCUACGGGAGACAGCAGUGGGGAAUAUUAGACAAUGGGCGAAAGCCUAAUCCAGCAAUGCCGCGUGAGUGAUGAAGGCCUUAGGGUUGUAAAGCUCUUUUACCCGGGAUGAUAAUGACAGUACCGGGAGAAUAAGCUCCGGCUAACUCCGUG
rnacentral:rRNA from 1 species